rnacentral:rRNA from 1 species
AGUGAACGCUGGCGGUAGGCCUAACACAUGCAAGUCGAACGGCAGCACAGUAAGAGCUUGCUCUUACGGGUGGCGAGUGGCGGACGGGUGAGGAAUACAUCGGAAUCUACUUUUUCGUGGGGGAUAACGUAGGGAAACUUACGCUAAUACCGCAUACGACCUACGGGUGAAAGUAGGGGAUCUUCGGACCUUGCGCGAUUGAAUGAGCCGAUGUCGGAUUAGCUAGUUGGCGGGGUAAAGGCCCACCAAGGCGACGAUCCGUAGCUGGGCUGAGAGGAUGAUCAGCCACACUGGAACUGAGACACGGUCCAGACUCCUACGGGAGGCAGCAGUGGGGAAUAUUGGACAAUGGGCGCAAGCCUGAUCCAGCCAUACCGCGUGGGUGAAGAAGGCCUUCGGGUUGUAAAGCCCUUUUGUUGGGAAAGAAAAGCAGCAGGUUAAUACCCCGCUGUUCUGACGGUACCCAAAGAAUAAGCACCGGCUAACUUCGUG